GCAAAACCACGAAACCAAGGUGGCUAUGGUGGUUCCAGUAGCAGCGGUAGCUAUGGCAGUGGCAGAAGAUUUUAAUUAGGAAACAAAGCUUAGCAGGAGAGGAGAGCCAUAGACGUGACAGGGAAGCUACGGGUUACAACAGAUUUGUGAACUUGGUCAAGCACUGUGGUGGCAGGGCCUAGCUGCUACAAAGAAGACAUGUUUUAGGCAGAUACUCAUGUGUAUGGGCAAAAAAACUCGAGGACUGUAUUUGUGACUAAUUGUAUAACAGGUUAUUUUAGUUUCUGUUCUGUGGAAAGUGUAAAGCUUUCCAACAAAGGGUUUUAAU
rnacentral:lncRNA from 1 species